UACGGAGGAUCCAAGCGUUAUCCGGAAUCAUUGGGUUUAAAGGGUCCGUAGGCGGGCCUGUAAGUCAGUGGUGAAAUCCGGCGGCUUAACCGUCGAACUGCCAUUGAUACUGCAGGUCUUGAAUUAUUGGGAAGUAACUAGAAUAUGUAGUGUAGCGGUGAAAUGCUUAGAUAUUACAUGGAAUACCGAUUGCGAAGGCAGGUUACUACCGGUGGAUUGACGCUGAUGGACGAAAGCGUGGGGAGCGAACAGG
rnacentral:rRNA from 2 species